rnacentral:misc_RNA from 1 species
GCCUAGCUUUAAACAUUGACCACUUACACAAAUAAUCCGCCAGGGAACUACGAGCCUCAGCUUAAAACCCAAAGGACUUGGCGGUGCCCCAAACCCACCUAGAGGAGCCUGUUCUAUAAUCGAUAACCCCCGCUUAACCUCACCACUUCUUGCCAAAACCGCCUAUAUACCACCGUCGCCAGCCCACCCCGUGAGGGGAAUGCAGUAGGCAAAAUGGCCCCCGCCAGAACGUCAGGUCAAGGUGUAGCGUAUGAAGUGGAAAGAAAUGGGCUACAUUUUCUGGCUCAGAACAACACGAAAGGUCACUAUGAAACCUGACCCAAAGGAGGAUUUAGUAGUAAAGAAAAACAAGAGAGUUCUCUUUAACUCGGCCCUGGGGCGCGCACACACCGCCCGUCACCCUCUUCAACCCGCCGUAUUCAAGUAUUUAAAUAAUUUUGGCAAAAAAGAAGAGGCAAGUCGUAACAUGGUAAGUAUACCGGAAGGUGUGCUUGGAAUAACAAAAUGUAGCUUAACUAAAGCAUCUCGCUUACACCGAGAAAAUAUCUGUUAAACUCAGAUCAUUUUGAGCCAAAAAUCUAGCCCCACCACAAAACUCCCCAAAGAGAUAUAUCCUACCAAAACGACCUCAACUAAAGCAUUACCAAACUUAAGUACUGGCGAUAGAAAAAGAAAACGGAGCCAUAGACAUAGUACCGCAAGGGAAUAAUGAAAUAGAAAUGAAACAACUCAUAAAAGCACCAAAAAGCAGAGACCC